GUUGACCUCGGAUCAGGUAGGGAUACCCGCUGAACUUAAGCAUAUCAAUAAGCGGAGGAAAAGAAACCAACAGGGAUUGCCCUAGUAACGGCGAGUGAAGCGGCAACA
rnacentral:rRNA from 9 species